UAAUAUCCCCACGCUGUAUGCUCUUCUGCAAGUAUCCUUGCCACUCUUUCACGAGGAAACGUUAUUUCUCCACCCCUGGAAUCUGAGCAGGACUUUAGAUGUCUUCGGUCAGUAGAUUAUGACUGCCAUAAUGUUAUAAUAGCUCUGUGCAUAGCCCUUAAAUGGCCUGGCAACUUCCACUUCCCACUUCUUGGAAACUGGCCACCAUGUAACAAGUAGGGCAAAAGCUGAGGCCAUUGUGGUGUGAGGAAGCCCAGGAAGGCCUGGAAGAUGAGGUUCCAUGCUGAGAGGUGAAGAAGCCAGUGCUCACCAAGGCACCAGACAUGUAAAUGAAGACGAGGUGCAUCCUCCAGCUGAUCCAGCUGAAUAUAUGCAGCUGCUGUGGGCACUGCCAUGUGAAGCCACAAAGAGGAACUUGUCGGGCUUCUUGUCCCCCUCCUCCAAGUGUGAACCUCCCACUAGAAUCUGUCUGCUUCACUUCACUCGCCCAUACCUUCAGAGCAUAUAAGGAUGACAUUGAUUGAUUAGCAAAACCUCAUAGACUACACCCAGGAAUAUUGGCAGUGCUGUGCGGCUUUUGGAGCUGAUGUUUGGAACCUAAACAUGCCACUGCAAUUUGAGAGCGAUGUGGCGUGCCAUCCUCCUGCUGUACUAACAAUCCCACAGAAGUUGUCACCUACGCUCAGUGUGGCCAUGACGCCAGGCAAAAACCAGAAGUCGAUCAGCAGAUUGCAAUCUACACGAAAGGCAGUGUGCCCCAGUUUGAGGAGCGGUUGCAGGACAACUUAACCAUCGUGACUGGUAUUUUCAUAGGCAUUACAUUCCUACAGAUUUGGGGGUUGUGCCUGGCCCAGAAUCUGCUGAGUGACAUUGAAGCUGUCAAAGCCAGCUGGCAGAGUGCCUGUCACAGCUGCUCCAAGACACUGGACAGGCCCAGCCUUCCCAACCGUCCGGUGUGCCCAGCUGAUACCCAAGCUGCACGGACCCUGAUCACAGAGGCAUCCUGUGAUCCCACCUGAUGGAGCUGCCAAGAACUCACCUUUUGGUGGGGUAAAACUGAGAAAUGCUGCUCACUGACAGAUUAAAAAAAAAAACAAAACUUUGGUUACUUUUUCUAACUUCAUAUGAUGAGUAUUUCGAUCCUUAAAAGUUCUGUCUUUCUUCUUUAAAAAUUAAGACAUUUAAAGCUCUAGAUUUUGGAGAGUUUUGUUGUGCUGGGUCAUUCUAUUUUGUUAGUGAUUUCUUUUCGAUUUCUCCUCAAAUUCAAGGGUUUUCUAAAAAUGCAUUUCUUAAUUUCCAAGUAAUUAAGACUUUUUAAAACCCUUUCGUUAUUUACUUUCAAUUUUAUUGGAUUAAUUUUUAAGGUUUUCUUCAUGACCAAGUCCAAUUUUUAAAACAUGUACAUAAACAUAGAAAAACCCUGUUUUGUGUCUGAAGGAUGGGAAAGUUUUAUAUACAGCUAUCAAGUCAAGUUUGAGUGUGACCAAUUCCACUAUAUUAUUUCUUUAAAAAAAAAAAAUCCUUUCUUAAAGGGGAACUAAAGCGAACUGAAAGGGCACCUAAUGGCCAAAGCUGGAACAAUCUGGGCAACAAAAUAAAUAAAAUAGUGUGGAGUCUUAGCCUAAAAUAGAAGCUAAAUUUUUAUGAGUCCAUAUUGAUUUAAAUAAAUGACUGAAUACAUAAGUAACUGGAAGAGAAUGGACAAAUCUCCCAUGCAGAAUUCCCAAUAAUUUAUGUAGCAACUCUACUUUCAAGGUCAUGGAGCAGAGCUCCCACUUACUAUGUGUGGGCUAAGCCUAGUGACUUCUUUCCUCAGAAUAUGGAAAGAGGAGGGGAAAAGUAACCUUACAGCGGAGACACAUGACAAACACUGCUUCAUCCAGGUGAUCAAGGUUAACAUAUGCGUGAUAAGUCACCUCACAGUUUGCCUCCUUGAUAUGAUGUAAGGGCAAUGGCAUUUUACCUCGGUGGUGUUUCUCCCCAGUCUGUAUCGUCAUAUGAUUCUGUGCCGCAACACUGUAA